GUUACUUCUGAGUCUCAGAUAUAUUUUGAUAGUUAUGAUGGUCCUUUCUACCGUGGCUUUAACAAUGAUGAUUCUGAUGAUGAUUAUGAUGAAGAUGAUCAUUUGGAAGACCUUUUGUUGUGUCAUGAGGCAAUGGCUUUUAUGGCUAUGUUCAAGUAAUCUUCAAUGCAGAGAAAGGAAAGUUGAAUUUGGCAAUUACUGUUUUUGGAUGAAGGUGUAGCUGUUUAGUUCCAGAACGGGUUUUUUUUGGCUUUGGCUGGAAAGUUGAAUUUGGUAAUUACUGUUCUGCUGAUGGUUGUCAAUUACCAGGAAUGUAAUUUUAAACCUCCAAACAUUUAUGGGUUAUCCAUCUUUGUGCUUAAAUUCUUGUAGACGUCUAUUUAGAAUUUUAUCAUAUGUUCA